AUUGAACGCUGGCGGCGGGCUUAACACAUGCAAGUCGAACGCCCCUUCGGGGGAGUGGCGGACGGGUGAGUAACGCGUGGGAAUGUGCCCUUUGGUACGGAACAACUGAGGGAAACUUCAGCUAAUACCGUAUGUGCCCUUCGGGGGAAAGAUUUAUCGCCAUUGGAGCAGCCCGCGUUGGAUUAGGUAGUUGGUGGGGUAAAGGCCUACCAAGCCUGCGAUCCAUAGCUGGUCUGAGAGGAUGAUCAGCCACACUGGGACUGAGACACGGCCCAGACUCCUACGGGAGGCAGCAGUGGGGAAUCUUGCGCAAUGGGCGAAAGCCUGACGCAGCCAUGCCGCGUGUAUGAUGAAGGUCUUAGGAUUGUAAAAUACUUUCACCGGGGAAGAUAAUGACGGUACCCGGAGAAGAAGCCCCGGCUAACUUCGUGCCAGCAGCCGCAGUAA
rnacentral:rRNA from 1 species